GUUCUUAUGCCGCUUUUUUGCCAGUUCGAUUUCUUUACCAUUAGAAACUACAUCAGAUUUAACUGAACAAAACAUGUUGGCAAAACACUUUUUCCUGUUCGUUUUUUGGGCAUUGGUGGCUGGAGCUAUUUUUGUGAUGGCUGCUCCAAAUUCUACAUCUCAAGAUUGCCCUGAGAACGAGGUAUUUGUGGAUGGUGGUCCAGACUGUACAAUAACGUGUCGUGGAUUAAACCUCAACAAGUGCUGUGUCAACCAUAUUGCACCUGUGAAAGGGUGUUUCAGCAGAAAAGGCUACGCCAAAGCUAAGAAUGGUACCAGCAUUCCAAUUAAUUCAAUUGACUGCCAAAAUGAAUUGAACGAUGAAUGCGAUUGCGGUGAUUUGGCUUGUGGAGGACGACCACUGGAAUGAAAUGAGAACGUUGUACGAAGCUUCAAGAAGCAGUUCAUUUUCAGGAACUACUCAUAGUGAAUUGGUUGGAGGGAAAUAAAUGCUUGUUGAUAAUUUGAAUAAAUUUGUUUUGGUUAAUUGUCUUUCCCAAGAAAUAGAUUCAGUAGAGUAAACUAAAGCAGAUGACUGUUUUUUUAAUUUAAAUUUCGAGGUCAUUUCUCAAUGCUCAAUUUACGUGCUUAUCUCAAGCUAAAUGAUUCAAGUGAACCUUUUUCUUUAAAUUUUGCAAUUAAACGCAGCUGAAAAAUUCAUUUUCCAAAUCAUAUAAAGAGCUCAUAGCAACUAGGUGGAUCGUGAUCGUACACAAGGCAAUACAUGCAUGGAAUAUACAUUUAUAAUCUGCUUGGUGCCUGCCACCAGCUCAGAAUACCAGCGCACAAGUGUUUUAAAUUCAUCUGAGAUUUUAGCUACGAUCGCGGAAUUAUUGUUCGAUAAACAAUGUUUAUAAUGAAUGAAUGACAUUUAUUGCUCUUGGUUUUGGGUACUUUUCUUUCUAAGUGCCACUGGAAUGAUGCAACGAGAGAAAAUUUGUGUUUGUAUUUCGUCGUAGGAGACGAUAAAAAAUAAGGCUGGCAAAUGCAUUGAUAUCUACUAUGACCAUCGUGCUUGAAUGUGGAAGGCUAUGAACUCAUAAAAGUUCCAAUUAUGGAUGAACAAUAUUUGUAUUAUGCCAAUUGAAUAAGCAAAAAUACCAAUAGUGAUGUUCCUAUGAAAUUUCUUUUUCUAUUAAUAACAUUUUAUUAUCUUGUAAGUAAAUGAACUUGGUUUUGUUUUGGGACAAUUUUAACGACGAAAAUUGUUUUCAAAAAUAUUUCGUUGACAUGUGGGUUUGACUGAAAACAGGUUGAAUUCGGUGCAAUAAUAUUUUUAGCGAUUAAGCUGUAGCGCAUUUACGAAUGUCAGUGGUGCUCUGUCAACUUGUACUAUAAUAUUAUAUAUCAUUAUAAUUGAUGACUAUUUCGAAAAAAUCGAAUCGAAAGCAAACCCAAUUUCGUUUGGUUGAAUGGUAUCACUUGCGACAGAGUGAACACUUGCGAUUCUUUUUUCGUUCUGACAGAAUGCAAGCCUGUGUGUGUUUCUCAACGCACCGUCGAUUUUAAGCUUGAGAAAUCGCUUAUGAAUAUUUGCUCUAGAUAGAGAAAUGGCUGAAUGCAAUUUCGAAAUAUCUCCAGAAUUUUCGGAGAGUUUGAAUGUAUUGACACGACAGUAUGAUAUAUGCAUCACCACACACAAAAAUAAAUGCAUGCUUAGUGUAUAAAUAUCCCCUCUUCAUUGCACUGCAUUCACAAUUGUUUUGAGCAUCUCUGUGAAGAUAUCACCGUGAAUUAAUUUUCUCUGAAGGAAAAAUCAACUUGAAUUUAUCAUUUGUGAUGAAGCCGGAUUAUAUUUUGAGUUUAACACUUUGUGUUUUUUUCGUUGGAAGUGUCAUUGGGCUGAAACAACUACCACCUGAGCCCAAACCAAUACCAGUGUGCCCCAAACCGUAUCAAAAAUGGGUUGUCGGAGCAAAGGCUUGUGGAAACUUUUGCGAGAAUUUAUGCUGCUUCUGUUGCUUAGAGACUUUUGCCAUUGUAGAAAGAUGCGACUGCAUAGACGGCUACGCAAUGGAUGAUGACGGCAAUUGCAUUAAAAUUGAUAGCAAAUUAUGUAAAAAAUUAAUGCGAAGAACUCGUAACUGUCUCCCUUGUAGUACCAUAUAUCCAAGCAAAAAACCAAACCCACAAUCACAUCGUGAUUUUUUUUAACCGUUCUCGCAUUCGUUUUUUUACUCUUCAUAUGUAUCAAUGAAAUGUACUGUGGCAACAGUCAAAACUGCUAAUUUCAACAUAAUUCUAGUGAAAUUGUAAUGAAUAACAUAAAAACAAUGAUUGAAUAAAAUGAAAUUUUAUACUGAUUGUACACAAAUGUGU